rnacentral:rRNA from 1 species
UACGUAGGGGGCUAGCGUUGUCCGGAAUCAUUGGGCGUAAAGAGCGUGUAGGCGGCCCGGUAAGUCCGCUGUGAAAGUCGGGGGCUCAACCCUCGAAUGCCGGUGGAUACUGUCGGGCUAGAGUGCGGAAGAGGCGAGUGGAAUUCCUGGUGUAGCGGUGAAAUGCGCAGAUAUCAGGAGGAACACCGAUUGCGAAGGCAGCUCGCUGGGACGUUACUGACGCUGAGACGCGAAAGCGUGGGGAGCAAACCGG